UACGAAGGGGGCUAGCGUUGCUCGGAAUUACUGGGCGUAAAGGGAGCGUAGGCGGACAUUUAAGUCAGGGGUGAAAUCCCAGAGCUCAACUCUGGAACUGCCUUUGAUACUGGGUGUCUUGAGUGUGAUAGAGGUAUGUGGAACUCCGAGUGUAGAGGUGAAAUUCGUAGAUAUUCGGAAGAGCACCAGUGGCGAAGGCGACAUACUGGAUCAUUACUGACGCUGAGGCUCGAAAGCGUGGGGAGCAAACAGG
rnacentral:rRNA from 1 species